rnacentral:rRNA from 1 species
CCUACGGGCGGCAGCAGUGGGGAAUAUUGCACAAUGGGGGAAACCCUGAUGCAGCGACGCCGCGUGAGUGAAGAAGUAUCUCGGUACGUUAAGCUCUAUCAGCAGGAAAGAAACUGACGGUACCUGACUAAGAAGCCCUGUCUAACUACGUGCCAGCAGCCGCGGUACUACGUAGGGGGCAAGCGUUAUCCGGAUUUACUGGGUGUAAAGGGAGCGUAGACGGCGCUGCAAGUCCGGAGGGAACGGUCCUGGCUUAACCAUGGUACUGCACUGGAAACUGUAGAGCUUGAGUGCGGGGGGGGCAGGCGGAAUUCGUAGUGUAGCGGUGAAAUGCGUAGAUAUGAGGAGGAACACCGACUGCGAAGGCGGCCUGCUGGAGCGUAACUGACGUUGAGGCUCGAAAGCGUGGGGAGCGAACAGGAUUAGAUACCCGAGUAGUC